ncrna:unclassified sequences RAGATH-9 RNA
CCAAUCAACCCAAAAGAACUGUAAAUAAUUCCAGAGCCCUAAUAUGUGUCAAACAUAACGGUCAUACAACGACAAUCUAUAACCCUAUAGAUAAAGUGAGAGAAGGAUGAGGGAUAUCUAUGAAAUAAGAUGUACAAAUACAUAGAACAGUUCUUUA